rnacentral:rRNA from 1 species
CCUACGGGUGACAGCAGUGAGGAAUAUUGGUCAAUGGGCGUAAGCCUGAACCAGCCAAGUCGCGUGAGGGAUGAAGGUUCUAUGGAUCGUAAACCUCUUUUAUAAGGGAAUAAAGUGUGGGACGUGUCCUAUUUUGUAUGUACCUUAUGAAUAAGGAUCGGCUAACUCCGUGCCAGCAGCCGCGGUAAUACGGAGGAUCCGAGCGUUAUCCGGAUUUAUUGGGUUUAAAGGGUGCGUAGGCGGCCUUUUAAGUCAGCGGUGAAAGUCUGUGGCUCAACCAUAGAAUUGCCGUUGAAACUGGUUUUCUAGAGUUGGAGAGAAGUAUGCGGAAUUCGUGGUGUAGCGGUGAAAUGCAUAGAUAUCACGAAGAACUCCGAUUGCGAAGGCAGCAUACCGGCUCCAUACUGACGCUGAGGCACGAAAGCGUGGGGAUCGAACAGGAUUAGAUACCCUUGUAGUC